UCCACUCACCCUCUACCUCCCGUGCAGACCAUCUCCUCCUUCCCCUCCCGUGCAGACCAUCUCCUCCUCCCCCUCCCGUGCAGAUCCACUCACCCUCUCCCUCCCGUGCAGACCAUCUCCUCCUUCCCCUCCCGUGCAGAUCCACUCACCCUCUCCCUCCCGUGCAGACCAUCUCCUCCUGCCCCUCCCGUGCAGAUCCACUCACCCUCUCCCUCCCGUGCAGACCAUCUCCUCCUUCCCCUCCCGUGCAGACCAUCUCCAUCUCUGUGGGUGGCGCCGGCGUGCCGUGGCGCACGGCUUGGGACGGCGCGACCGACACCUACGGGAGCAACUCUACCUCCCUCGCCUCUCCCUACGGCAAGGCUGCGCCGUGGUCAGCCUCCCACCNUA
rnacentral:lncRNA from 1 species